UGUGAAACAACUACAUAAGACGGGGCGCAUGAACCUGGUCAGCAGGAACUCAACAACGUUCCUAAGGACCAUAACCUUUCCAGUCAACUAGAUAAGACAAAGUACCCCUGGAGAUUUUGGAGUCCAAUAUAGAAUGAACUUCGUACUCCUCCUGAUCACCACUACCAAGGGCGGAGGAGGAGCGGCCACUUUAGUGUAUCGAUUGCAAGUAAGAGGC